UCUGGUCUGUAACUGACGCUGAGGCUCGAAAGCGUGGGUAGCAAACAGGAUUAGAUACCCUGGUAGUCCACGCCGUAAACGAUGAGUGCUAAGUGUUGGAGGGUUUCCGCCCUUCAGUGCUGCAGUUAACGCAUUAAGCACUCCGCCUGGGGAGUACGACCGCAAGGUUGAAACUCAAAGGAAUUGACGGGAACCCGCACAAGCGGUGGAGCAUGUGGUUUAAUUCGAAGCAACGCGAAGAACCUUACCAAGUCUUGACAUCCUUUGACCACUCUAGAGAUAGAGCUUUCCCUUCGGGGACAAAGUGACAGGUGGUGCAUGGUUGUCGUCAGCUCGUGUCGUGAGAUGUUGGGUUAAGUCCCGCAACGAGCGCAACCCUUAUUACUAGUUGCCAGCAUUGAGUUGGGCACUCUAGUGAGACUGCCGAUGACAAACCGGAGGAAGGUGGGGAUGACGUCAAAUCAUCAUGCCCCUUAUGACUUGGGCUACACACGUGCUACAAUGGAUGGUACAACGAGCAGCGAACUCGCGAGGGUAAGCGAAUCUCUUAAAGCCAUUCUCAGUUCGGAUUGUAGGCUGCAACUCGCCUACAUGAAGCCGGAAUCGCUAGUAAUCGCGGAUCAGCACGCCGCGGUGAAUACGUUCCCGGGUCUUGUACACACCGCCCGUCACACCACGAGAGUUUGUAACACCCAAAGUCGGUGAGGUAACCUUUUGGAGCCAGCCGCCUAAGAUGGGAUAGAUGAUUGGGGUGAAGUCGUAACAAGGUAGCCGUAUCGGAAGG
rnacentral:rRNA from 1 species